rnacentral:rRNA from 1 species
AUUGAACGCUGGCGGCAGGCCUAACACAUGCAAGUCGAGCGGAUGAAGGGAGCUUGCUCCUGGAUUCAGCGGCGGACGGGUGAGUAAUGCCUAGGAAUCUGCCUGGUAGUGGGGGAUAACGUCCGGAAACGGGCGCUAAUACCGCAUACGUCCUGCGGGAGCAAGUGGGGGAUCUUCGGACCUCACGCUAUCAGAUGAGCCUAGGUCGGAUUAGCUAGUUGGUGGGGUAAAGGCCUACCAAGGCGACGAUCCGUAACUGGUCUGAGAGGAUGAUCAGUCACACUGGAACUGAGACACGGUCCAGACUCCUACGGGAGGCAGCAGUGGGGAAUAUUGGACAAUGGGCGAAAGCCUGAUCCAGCCAGGCCGCGUGUGUUAAGAAGGUCUUCGGAUUGUAAAGCACUUUAAGUUGGGAGGAAGGGCAGUAAGUUAAGACCUUGCUGUUUUGACGUUACCAACAGAAUAAGCACCGGCUAACUUCGUG